rnacentral:piRNA from 1 species
UCAUGAUAAUUAACUUGUAAGUUGGGCUG